UACGGAGGGUGCAAACGUUGCUCGGAAUCAUUGGGCGUAAAGCGCACGUAGGCGGUCGGAUAAGUCUGAUGUGAAAACCCGGGGCUCAACCUCGGACUGCCAUUGGAAACUGUUCGACUUGAGAGCGAGAGGGGUCAGUGGAAUUCCUGGUGUAGGGGUGAAAUCCGUAGAGAUCAGGAGGAACACCGGUGGCGAAGGCGACUGACUGGAUCGUCUCUGACGCUCAGGUGCGAAAGCGUGGGUAGCAAAC
rnacentral:rRNA from 1 species